rnacentral:lncRNA from 1 species
UGUUGAUAUGAUCAACAUGUAGUUCUUGCUCUUUAUAUUUUAAUUUUUGAUUUAAUAUCAUGUAAUAAUCAUAUAAUAGGAUUUUAGAUCUAGGGAUUCUCUAAUUUUAUAAGAUAAAUUUUGAUUUAUUUUAGUCUUUCGCUGUCUGAUCUUGAAAAAGUUUCAAGAUCUAACCCUGAAACCCUAGAUCUAGUUCCUUCAUUCUGAUCACC